rnacentral:rRNA from 1 species
AGGACGAACGCUGGCGGCGUGCUUAACACAUGCAAGUCGAACGGAAAGGCCCUUCGGGGUACUCGAGUGGCGAACGGGUGAGUAACACGUGGGUGAUCUGCCCCGCACUUUGGGAUAAGCCUGGGAAACUGGGUCUAAUACCGAAUAGGACCAUGGGAUGCAUGUCCUGUGGUGGAAAGCUUUUGCGGUGUGGGAUGGGCCCGCGGCCUAUCAGCUUGUUGGUGGGGUUAAGGCCUACCAAGGCGACGACGGGUAGCCGGCCUGAGAGGGUGUCCGGCCACACUGGGACUGAGAUACGGCCCAGACUCCUACGGGAGGCAGCAGUGGGGAAUAUUGCACAAUGGGCGCAAGCCUGAUGCAGCGACGCCGCGUGGGGGAUGACGGCCUUCGGGUUGUAACCUCUUUCAGUAGGGACGAAGCGCAAGUGACGGUACCUACAGAAGAAGCACCGGCCAACUACGUGCCAGCAGCCGC